UUUAUGCUUGGUACAAAAACAGUAUAGUGUUCACAUUAUAGUGCAUCUUUCUUUUGAUGUUUGGAGCUUACAGUAUGCUGUCAUUUUAGGGUACCUUCACUCACGUAGUCACAGAGCAUCCUUUACAGAACCGAUCGAUGAGACUUUAAUCAUGUGUACGUCUUUACUGGUUUUUGGUAGGAGUGUGUCUUCAUGCUAUCCCUUUGUUGAACUGCAGGUUUCUGCUUCAAAUGUGGACAUGACAUUGCUGAUGUCUCAGGCGCCACCGACCAGUCACUACUUCCUGCCUCGCACUUGAUACCACUGCCCUCCACUGCAAAUAAGGUUUCUGCUUCAAAUGUGGACAUGACAUGGCUGAUGUCUCAAACGCCACCGACCAGUCACUACUUUCUGUCUCACACUUGAUACCACUGCCCUCCACUGCAAAUAAGGUUUCUGCUUCAAAUGUGGACAUGACAUGGCUGAUGUCUCAAGCGCCACCGACCAGUCACUACUUCCUGUCUCACACUUGGUACCACUGCAAAUAAGAAUGAGUAGAAAAGCCCAGACACAAAUGGACGUAGGAGAAGUGAAUGCGGUUGAGAAACACCUGAUGAAGUUCAUCAGAACAUUCAUGGUUCUAGGCAAGAGCGACUGCAUGGGUUUUUACAAACGGAAACACUGGCAUUAAAGGAUCGA